CAGCGCCACCACCACCACCUCAGU
rnacentral:siRNA from 1 species